UGGGGAAUAUUGCACAAUGGGCGCAAGCCUGAUGCAGCCAUGCCGCGUGUGUGAAGAAGGCCUUCGGGUUGUAAAGCACUUUCAGCGAGGAGGAAGGUGGUGAACUUAAUACGUUCAUCAAUUGACGUUACUCGCAGAAGAAGCACCGGCUAACUCCGUGCCAGCAGCCGCGGUAAUACGGAGGGUGCAAGCGUUAAUCGGAAUUACUGGGCGUAAAGCGCACGCAGGCGGUUUGUUAAGUCAGAUGUGAAAUCCCCGGGCUCAACCUGGGAACUGCAUUUGAAACUGGCAAGCUAGAGUCUCGUAGAGGGGGGUAGAAAUUCCAGGUGUAGCGGUGAAAUGCGUAGAGAUCUGGAGGAAUACCGGUGGCGAAGGCGGCCCCCCUGGACGAAGACUGACGCUCAGGUGCGAAAGCGUGGGGAGCAAACAGAUUAGNUACCCUGGUAGUCCAGCGCUGUAAACGAUGUCGAUUUGGAGGUUGUGCCCUUGAGGCGUGGCUUCCGGAGCUAACGCGUUAAAUCGACCGCCUGGGGGAGUACGGCCGCAAGGUUAAAACUCAAAGGAAUUGACGGGGUCAUAGCUGUUUCCU
rnacentral:rRNA from 1 species